GCCGAUCUGGUAUAACGGUAUUGCGCUUGAGGCUGUGGCCCAGGCCAAAGAGCCAACUGGGGGAGCCAAAGAGCUCCGCACAGUCCUCAAGAGAUGUGAGUUCGACUCUCGCGAUCGGCA